rnacentral:rRNA from 1 species
UAUUAUAUUAUUUGUUAAAUAAAUUCUAGAAUAUUAGUAGAUAUAUCUUAAAAGUUGAAAAAUUUGGCGGUAAUUAAUCUCAUUUGAGGAGCUUGUUUUUUAAUUGAUAAUCCUCAAAAAAUCUUACUUGUUUUAAAAGUUUGUAUACCUUCAUAGUAGAUAAAUUUUAGAGGAAUUUAUUUAAUUUAAUAAUUUAUUGAAAAUAGAUCAAGGUGCAGCAUAUAAAUAAGUUAAAGUGAGCUACAAUAAUUUUAAGUUAAUAUGAAUUAAAAAUAGAAUUUUUUUAUGAAGGUGGAUUAAAUUGUAAUAUAUUUAUAACAAGGUUAUAUGAUAAAAGUAAUAAAUUAU